rnacentral:rRNA from 1 species
UGCGAAACUCGAAUGAACGAACGGAGAGAUUCAUCGUCAUUCCUCGGUGCACUUGCGCUGGUUCGAUGUCUAAGGUCUCGAUCUGUGGCACUGCCAGUGUUCGUCGCGUCCGUGGACGGCGUGCACUUCUCUCUUAGUAAUACAUCGCGACCCGUUCGGUGUCGGUCUAAGUGCCUUUCGGGAGUCUUCGCUUCCUCGCGGAGUGUAGACCGUGAAGUGCACCGACCGGCCGCCGGACGGUAUAUUAUACGAAACGCUCACGCGCUCGCGCGCGUCCGGCCCGACGCAAGGCAACGUCGUAUCCUCUGUCCUGCCCGAGUGCGGACAGGGGUGCGGCGCGCCUGUCGUCGCUGCCGUGCUGUCUCGGACUGUGUGCGUAUCUGUCUGCGAUGAUUCAGUUUCGGGCA